rnacentral:misc_RNA from 1 species
GAUGAAGAACGUAGCGAAAUGCGAUAAGUAAUGUGAAUUGCAGAAUUCAGUGAAUCAUCGAAUCUUUGAACGCACCUUGCGCCCUUUGGCUAUUCUGAAGGGCAUGCCUGUUUGAGUAUCGUGAACACCUCAACUCUCAUGGUCUGCCAUGAUGAGCUUGGACUUUGGGGGUCUUGCUGGCCUACUGUCAGCUCCUCUCAAAUGAAUCAGCUUACCAGUGUUUGGUGGCACCACAGGUGUGAUAACUAUCUACGCUUGUGGUUUCUGCCAGGUAACCUCCAGUGAUGGAGGUUCGCUGGAGCUCACAAAUGUCUCUCCUCAGCGAGGACAGCUUUUUGAACGUUUGAUCUCAAAUCAGGUAGGACUACCCGCUGAACUUAAGCAUAUCAAUAAGCGGAGGA